CAGGACCCCACCCUGCGUAUUGAACCAGAACACAGUUGCUGACACCCACAGGCCAGAAGCAGCACAGGCUGAAGACAGGAAGAUAGAAAGGGCGAAGUGAACUGAUCAGUGAAAGAGUGAAGGGACGCACACAUCACACCAACAACAGAGAAUGCAGAAGCACUGUUAGCCGCAGAGAUGACAGAUUGCUGGAGACAAGGUGGAAAGCAAAAAGCUGCAGCUGCAAGUCUGCUCUCUAGUGGUCAUCUAGA